rnacentral:lncRNA from 1 species
AAACCCAAAACAAUAAAACCUUUUCAAGGAAGUAAGGUGUUGACGUGACUGGAUUAAGAAAUACCUACAAAACUGGCAAAACAGUACUUCUGGAUGUGUCUGUGAGGGUGUUUUAAGGAGACUGAUGUGCCUUUGGACUUGGACUGGGCCAUUUUACCAGCAUCUCAGAGUCUCCAGCUUGUAGACAGCCUGUCGUGGGACUUCUCAACCUCUGUAAUCAAGUGAGCUAAUUCCCCUAAUAAACCCCCUCUCAUAUCUCUAUAUCUAUUGAUAGCUCCUAUUGAUCUGUCUCUCUGUAGAACCCUGACCAAUACACAUAUGCUUAUUACAAGGUAUUGACUCUUGGCCAAUGCUGUGCAAUGGAUUAACUAAAGAUAAAGAUGUUCUAUAA